rnacentral:rRNA from 1 species
AGAGUUUGAUCAUGGCUCAGAACGAACGCUGGCGGCAUGCCUAACACAUGCAAGUCGAACGAAGCCUUCGGGCUUAGUGGCGCACGGGUGCGUAACACGUGGGAAUCUGCCCUUCGGUUCGGAAUAACAGUUAGAAAUGACUGCUAAUACCGGAUGAUGACGAAAGUCCAAAGAUUUAUCGCCGAAGGAUGAGCCCGCGUAGGAUUAGGUAGUUGGUAGGGUAAUGGCCUACCAAGCCGACGAUCCUUAGCUGGUCUGAGAGGAUGAUCAGCCACACUGGGACUGAGACACGGCCCAGACUCCUACGGGAGGCAGCAGUGGGGAAUAUUGGACAAUGGGCGAAAGCCUGAUCCAGCAAUGCCGCGUGAGUGAUGAAGGCCUUAGGGUUGUAAAGCUCUUUUACCAGGGAUGAUAAUGACAGUACCUGGAGAAUAAGCUCCGGCUAACUCCGUG